rnacentral:rRNA from 1 species
UACCCCGAGGAAAAGAAAUCAACCGAGAUUCCCCCAGUAGCGGCGAGCGAACGGGGAGGAGCCCAGAGCCUGAAUCAGCAUGUGUGUUAGUGGAAGCGUCUGGAAAGGCGCGCGAUACAGGGUGACAGCCCCGUACACAAAAGCGCAUGUGCUGUGAGCUCGAUGAGUAGGGCGGGACACGUGGUAUCCUGUCUGAAUAUGGGGGGACCAUCCUCCAAGGCUAAAUACUCCUGACUGACCGAUAGUGAACCAGUACCGUGAGGGAAAGGCGAAAAGAACCCCGGCGAGGGGAGUGAAAAAGAACCUGAAACCGU